UGUAAGCGUAUACCAAAGUUGUUGCAGUUAAAACGCUCGUAGUCGGAAUUUGGCAGUUCCGGAUGUGUGCACGUCGUGUGCGCACUUCGCGGGGAUUGCUUUUGUGGUCUUGCGUAGGAUGAGGCACUUUUAUUAGUGAACGUCCUCACGCAACCACUUUUUACUGUGAGAAAAUCAGAGUGCUCAAAGCAGGCAUUUGCCGUGAAUGUAUUAGCAUGGAAUAAUAGAAUAGGACUUGGUUCUAUUUUGUUGGUUUGUUGGGACUGAGUAAUGAUUAAGAGGGACAGUUGGGGGCAUUUGUAUUUCGGUGCUAGAGGUGAAAUUCUUAGAUUACCGAAAGACAAACUGCUGCGAAAGCGUCUGCCAAGGAUGUUUUCAUUGC
rnacentral:rRNA from 1 species